CUCCGCGCGCUGUAUACUUUGACGUGUUGAGGAACGAAUGAAAGAGCGGCGGCAGAUUCAAGGUGAUGAUACUGUAAGAUGUAUCGAAAGUUGUUUUCCUUCUUAAUCCAAGGGUAAUUUUGAACCUGAUGAUGCCCACUCUUAUGAACCGCUGUGGAGCCCCUGCUACCAGGACCAAUCACACCGACACAUGGCCCCGAUGACUAGACUGCGGCAGCUCCAGACAUCAGAUCAGGGGCCUUUUUCAUAAAGAGUUACAAGUAACAUCGCCAUUAUGGCAACUACCGUGACGACAAGACUCAACAGCCAGAUAUAAUAAAGAUUUCCAUGGAAGUUACAAUAAUGGCAAUGUUAAGAUAGUUGUAAGUCUUUAAGAAACGGACCCCGGAUCGUCAGCUCAGCUCACCUGCAAAGCUCGGACGUGUAGCAACCAGACCGAUCGGAACAAGUCGAGGGAUCAGAAGUGGUGGUGUAACAGCGAGGAUGUUGCAGAGAAUGUCUUCAGGAUGUUGUGAAGAAAUUUCAGCGUCAGAGAAUGCAAGCAGAGACUGGGAUUUCUUUCCGUGAGAGCAAAACCGUAACAGGUUCAUCUGGCAGAAGUGGUUCAACAGGGAGCACUGAAUAUGGAGCUAGAUUAAAAAGAAGUCUUUGUUAAAGGUGGAGGAUAAACUCAACAAAGUCGGGUCAGACGUCAAGAUAAUUCCUAGAAAUUAGACAUCAGAACCAGUGCUUUAGCCAUCAUAACAAGGGAGAGAAUGCAGGCUAGAAGAGGGACGAAGGGAUGCUGACCUCCUUGUCAUCUUGCCAAACAUAAAGGACCUAUCAACUUUUCAACAGAGGCUAAGGAGAACAUUAAGGCUGUUUUACCAUCCGUUGAACUCAUGUCAAACAUGGAAUCACCAGCUAUCUGGUGUCAACCAUCUUCCAAGCGAAAAUCAGAAAGAGAGAGGGUCUACCAGAGACAAGGACAUGCCACCAAUCUUCAAGUCUUCAUCUACCAGGGAUGUCUGAUGUAACUGGUCUUUGCCUGAAGUAUGAUCAACAUAAGAACGGAUUUGGCACCAAACUCUUCCAUAUACAACCUCCAUCUUGUGUUACUAAUUUUCCUCAUAUUUCAUGAUGGAGAAAGUUUACAGGGAUUGCUCUCGACACCAGUCAUUAUCUACACUCUAUGUCUGGUGUUAACCUUAGCCCUAUUAUAACUGGGCCUGUUCAGAUCAAUUUUUUACUAGUAUACAGUGUAGAUGAUGUUUGAUGUUAUGUGUUCGGCUAUGUGGAAUAUGUACUCCAAUGACUGUCUAGAAUAUGCUCAAGCCUUAAUAAGGGGGGGUAAAUCUGACUUUAUGAUGACUUUUAUGUAGCUCCACGGAGCAGGUCCAAGCUAUUGUUUCUUUGCUGAUAGUUGUAGUAGUUGAAAUAAUUAACAACUUUAUCUUGAUGAAGUUUGUAUUUGUUAAAAUUGUGCUGACUUUUCUGCAAAAGUGGAUCCAAAGGUUUUCCAGAGUUUUUCCCUUAUGAGUUUUAUCUUUGGUUUUUUACCCUGGAUCUACUUGUCGUAGAACUAGUCAGGGGGGGGGGAGGGGUAAAGAGGAUGGGGGUGGGGUGUUUUAGGGUAAAUAAGUCAAAAAUGCAAAUGGAUUUGCAACGACAUCUCCCAAGUAUUAAAUCUUGCUCAUCUUUUAAUAAUGAAUUUUGUAUGCCUGGAUAUGUGGGUCCAAAGUUUGUUUUUUACAUUUUGUAUUAAGGCAUGCAAGAUGCAAAAUUGGUCAAAAGCAUGAUUUUUGUAUGUACAAAUCAAUUGCAAAUCCUGUUUCUUGUCAAAAUCUAUCAAUGUAAAUCAACUAAUUUCAUGCGGAAAAAAACCUCAAAACAAGUCGAAAAACAAAGGUCCAUGGUCACAGAGAUACACAAAUGUACAUAUAUACAUUCAAAUAUCUCAUUCUCGAGAUAAUUGAAAAACUGUAUUCGAGAUCGACUGCGAAUUCAGUUGAUAAUUUACCUUUAUUGGAAAGGCAAUGAUCUUCCUAUAUUUUGGGGUCUGGAGGUCAACGUUCAUAGAGGUCACGGUAUACCUUAAAGUAUCUUUUUUUCUUUUUUUCUAUCUUUUUCCGACGAAGAUUCUGCUAGGAUCGAAAGCUUAGGCCCCUUUUUGACUUUCUAGUAUCUUUUUCUCGCGAUAAACCUUUUUAAGGAUUCAACUUUAAACUUUACUCAAGUACAUGUAUGCAUACAUGUAUGGAAGUGACAAUGAUCUGAAUAGAUAUUAGGGUCAUGAGGUUCAAAGGUCACAUGGUUCAUUAUAAACAGUAAUAUCUUGUUCUUGCAAUAACUAUAAUUGUUGGGGUCUUGAGAACAAAGAACAGAGGUCAUUUUAUACAUUGUUCUUGCUUUCCAGCGAACUGUUUGAGAGAAAGUUGCCAAUCAAAGACUCAUGUAUGUAUCUAUGAGAGGAUGAUCUUUAUCAGAUUUUAGGGUCAUAAGGUCAGGGGUCAAAGGUUACAGAUGUUAUUAAUUCAAAAUAUUAAAAUUUAUACGUAUACUACAUCUGGCAAUAGCAGAGACAUAAAUUUUACUGUCUGCAGUCGAGAAUCCCUUCUGUUUCUGUCAAAUUUUGCAUAGUCCCACUAAUAUACAUUCACAAUGUAUGGUUCCAGUUCAGGGUUUUUCCCCCCUUAUUAUAUCAGAUAAUUUUGAAUUAAUGCAAAGGUUAUGAAACUAGCAAAGCAAGUCUGGGAAGUGUUUUACAAAUAGUUAAAAGUGACUACAAGUCAUGCUUACACAAGUGAUUAUUAAUACGCAAAUGAUAAUUUGCACUGCAGUCUCAUUAAUACAUGUAUGUAGUACAGCAUAUCCUCUGAUUCUGAUCCAAUCGAUAUGAUGAUCUGUUAUUUUCCACAUACAAUUUGAUUUGUCUCUUAUGUCACAUGUUCUAGGGACAGUGAUAUUCUGUUUACCGGUUAUUCAAAACCCUAAAUCUGUUGUGGUUCUUUGUUUUUCAUGGUAAAAUUUCAUUGAAUUUACUUUUGAAAAAUGGAAUUAAUGUAUUUGCUGUGUACAUUUCUAUAACAAAAUUGAAUUUCCAUUUUAGAUCAAGUAUGUUAAACAGAGUUACAGGUUUCCAGAAACAGAAAAUGCAAUUUUUUAAAAAAUUGAAAAUCACUGUCCCUAAUGUCAUGUCAGAUAGCUUGGACCUGCCCUCACAUAUGUAAUGUACGAUUGUCUGUACUAUAUACUUGCUUUGUAUUCACAAUCUCAUUUUUCUCUCUUGAAAAUAAAAUGUAAGACCGGCAGCCAAGGAGAUUCGUUCAAGUGGGAGGACCAGAGCAGUUGACCUCAUUGAUUGAUGGUGGUAGGCCCUGAACCUCACAAACAUGGCUUCCGGUCUGGUUUGAGCUGUGAUCUUCCUGACAGAAUCACACAAUAUGUGACAUCACUACCAAGAGAUCUAUUUUUCAGUGUACAGAGAGGGGCACUGGACACCGUUGUGCAUGGUAUACAACCUCUGUAAUGUAAGUGCUUUAUUUCUGAUUUCUAUGAUGUUUUGUGUAGCCUAGAGUAUGUGGGACAAUGCAAUCGGUUUUUUUCCAGCAAUUAGUACUGAGGGCACUAAUUGGUUUGGGAAAAUUAGGCAGCAAUUUUACCCAUUUGGGGCUUUUUAUCCACUUUUUGCCACUAUUGCAUUUUUUUAAAUUCAUAACAUUUUGUUUAAUCUUUGGAAUGAUAUCCUUUUCAUGAAAAUCUAUCAAAACAUUAACAUUCCCAAAUGAAAUUUUGAAAAAUUUGUAGGGAUUUCAAAAAACUCUUCUACAAUACAAUACUUGCAUUGUCUGUUGAUCCAUUGAUGGUCGUCUUUCUUUAUAUACCUUUCUGUACUAUCUGCUGUAGCUGCUGCUCUAAAUUCAUCUUUGUUUCACACUGUUGCAACAGUUUAUCUGCCAUGACUGAUAUGAUAAUGUGCUAGUAAGACAAAAACAAUAAUUUAAAAGGAAAUUUGAAUAUAUUUACAGACUUUGAUCUCAUUUAAAAUAAUUAAUUGCAGAGCCAUGAUAGAGCAGUGAGAAUAUUUUGCAAUAAAUAUAUUCCUUAUUUCUGUACAUAUUAAUUUUUCGGACAGACUAAUUUGAGUUACUUUUUAAAAAGUGUUUGGUCCUAUUCCCUUUUCACCAUGAACCUAAAUGUUUGGGAAAAUGCCUAGUGUGUAUCCAUCAUGUAAACACAUAAUGCGAGAGAUUUAGCCAGACCUGUGUUGGAUGACAAUGAUAUUGUGAUGAAGGUGGCUUUUCAAUAUCGGUUAGUCUGCCAAAAACUAUUAAAAAAAACACCUUUUAUCCUCAACUCUGGAUAAAAAGUUUAACCCAUAUUUAUGAGGAUUGUGUGCUUCAAUGUUUUUUCCACAAUGUGUAAAGACAAAAAUAUUCCUUCAAACACUGCAAUACAAGUUAGCAUGGAAUCUAGUUGUAGAAGUGCAAUGUCAAAUUUGAUUUCCAUAUUUUCAGCAAGUGCUAUUUGCUUGUCCACUGUGGUGUCUCUAGUUGACUCUUAUUGAUGUUUUGUAUUGGACCUUUUGCAUGUUUGUUAAAUUGUUUGACGGAGCAGUUUAGCCUAGACGGCUUUGGGGCUUGGUGGCAGUGAUCAAGGUCGAUCAAGAACCGGUUUGCACUCCAAAGGAGAGAAGAGAUGAACUGUUGAUGUAUGUUUGAAGAGAGCGCUGCUUACUUCUGGAGUAAUGUUUCAAUUGCAUGCGACAUUUUUGCAUUUGGUGUUUGAAAAUCUGGCAAUGUUGUGAUAAUCCUCAAGUAAUCUCUGACGAAGAGGGAUGGUGUUCUUUUCAACCUAGAUGUUGGUAUCCAGUGGUCUUCACUACAUCAUGCAAGUUAGACAUUUUAAAUGGUGAUUUCUUAUGAGGGGUCUGUGCCUUUGUUUUACUAAUACAUGAUGCCUUACAAGGUGGUCCAAAUGAUAAUAAUCAUGGUAUCAUUUGGUAGACAUUACUGCACUCUGAUCUGCAUGUCUCUUGCUAUCUAAGCUUAUUACCAUCUGGAAUUCAUCCACGUUUCAGUCUGUGGGUGGGGCAGUGAUCCCCCAAGAUUGUCAAUCUUCUGAAUUCUCCAUUUUCCAUUCUUUCCAUGUUUAUUCAGUCAUUGCAUUGCCUGGUAGAUUUUCCUCUGUACAUUAUUUCCUGUGUGAAUGAGAAUUGCAUUUAGGGUUGCUGUAUUUGGGAAGGCAUUUGAUGGGACUUGGCCUAUCUGAUUUGGAUGAUCAGGUUGUCUAAAAUUUACGUUAUCUCCUGUGUUUUGAAAACUUUAUUCGGUCCAAACCAGAGUUCCUAUUUGGACAUACCUGAAAAAUUGGUCAGGCUUUACCUACUGUGGUCAUAAAGGAUUGUGGCAUGGCCUAUGGGAAGGAGCCAGGGUAGGACGACUCUUCGAGACCCGAGAGUUCUGACCAUGGUGAUCAAUGCAAGAUGCUCCUAAUUCCUUGAAGAGCCUCAUCAGCAUCCAUACUCGGUGCCAUCGCCCUCAAGGCCUGGGGUCAGAGCUAAUGAUUCUUCAAGACUUUACCAUGGUAUGGUAUUCAGUUAAAGAGUUUUGUUGUACCUUGAAGAGCCUCAGCAGGAUUUUCACAUGGAUCUGUUAUUGUGGCAGGGACGAAGGGGCACUUCUAGCCAGUACGUAUGUUUGAAGAUAAGGGUUGUAUUGAUUAGAGGACUUCUUCUAGUAGAUUGUUUCAACGGUUUCCAACAUCCAGUCUGGAAUGACUUUAGGAAUUUCUAUUUGUUGCCGUCUGUGAAAUUUGACAUUCUCUCUCGAUGAUUGUUAGAGUUGUCAUUGACCUUUUGCCUAAAGCAUGGAUUCCUUCAUUUAGCCUGGAACGAGCUGUGGAAAUAUUUAUUUGGUGCUUCUUCUGAAAUUCCAAUAAUUUUCUUCUGGCUGAAGAAAUCCAUUCUGGAAGGAGUUUUGUGAAUUUUAUUGGGUGUCGUCUCAGAAAUUUGAUAUUGCACUUCACUUCUAGGGAACAUGCAUUGUAUUGUGGUGAUUGGUGGCGCAUUGUGGGAAAUUAAGUGCACUGCACUUCCUCUGGACAAGCCUAUCUUGAGGGUUCGACCUGUUAGAUCUAGAUUCGCAUAUAUCUUGUCAUUCUGAAUGCAAUAGCUUUUUCUCUCAAAAUUGUGUGGAAAGAAGUGAUGGAUGCAUACGCAAAACAAAAAAAUUUGGUUCCUUUAUGAUGGUGAUUAAAACGAACCCCCUCCCCAAAAAACGAAAAAUAGAAGAAAGCAUAUUUCUUCGUAUUAACCAAAAAUGCAGUGUUCAUUGAAGUUCACUGAAACACAAUUGUACAUGUACAAAAAAAGGUGCAUUUAUUUGCAAAUAUUUCCCAUCUGCUCAGGCUACUGCUCCCCCCCCCAAAAAAAAAAGGAAGAAAAACAACAAAAGAGAAAGAAAAAAUGGUGCGAAAUAUACAAUGAUGAUUAAAUGAUCCAUUAUAUUAUUUAUUAAAAUGAAAAAUAUGACAAUUAUUAUACUGUAUGAUUAAAUUUAGGACAUUUUAAUAUCAGUCAUGCUUUUAAAUGUUGAAAUGGUGUAAAAUGAAGGAAGAUUGGCAGAAUUGGGGAGCAUUUCAUAAGCGGAUUUGUCGGUGAUUAUCAAAGACUAAUUUGCUAUUGACCAAUCAGAUGCAGUAAUUUACAAUAGCUCAGAACAUCUGUUGGUGAAAAUCACUGACAAAUCUUCAUGAAAUGCCCCCCCCCCAAGAUGGAUAGUACAGGGAGCGAGACCACAUUUAGUGGAUUAACUGGUAAACCUGUAGAAGGAAGAGGGGAUAGAGGGGAAGGGGAGAAGGGUGAACAAAGAUUAAUAGACUGAAGGGGAGGGGCUGGAAAAUCAAUGCAUUGUCUCGCAUACACUUGGCUGCACAAAGCAUCAUUGAAGUUGAAAAUAAAGCACCUGCAUUACAGAAGCGGUACGUCAUGCAUGGUAGUGUCCAGCGCCCCGCCCUGUACACUUAAAAAAAGACAAUGGGUAGUGAUGUCAUGUAUUGUGUGAUUUUGUCUCGGAGACCUCAGCUCAGAUCAGACUGGCGGCCAUUUUGUGAGGGUUAGGGGUUUGCCACAUCAUAUCAAGGUCAUUUGCUCUGGUAACCUCUUUACUUGAAUGAAUCUUCUUGGCUGCCGGUCAUUUUUUUUUAAUCAAUUUUUUUUAUAACUAUGUAUUUUCAGACAAAUAAAUUCCUUGUAAAAUGAAAA